AAAGAAAGCCGGGGCCAGAAAGAAACUCAGACAUCAUCUGGGCUUACAUUUUAAUCUUGCAACUGAGAAAAGGUAGACUCUCAGCGGCUCCUGGCAAUAAACAACUCAGGCGCAACGGGAUGUUUCUUACAAGGAGCAGCCGUGCAGUGAUUGCUCCACUCUGAGGGUCUGAGUCAGCCCUUCCUCAGCUUCUGGGCUUAUUUUAGCCCCACGUUUCUGGAGGAGGAAACAAGAACAUGAUCAAGGAUGCCGUGGGAAGAGCCUGGGGCCCUCCAGUUCUCUCGGGGAGCCUGGGGAAGCUCCUCACAGUUCCAGCUACUGUAGAAAUUCACAGCCAAGGGCUCCUACAGAAUUGGGCUGUCAGCCUGGCCAGCCUAGGGGGGUGGGCCCCACUGUAAGAAAGCCUGCCAUUUGGAAAUGAGAAUUAGAGCAAAAGGA
rnacentral:lncRNA from 1 species